UUUCUUUAUGCAUUUCCCAUACAUGAGGUUAUACUUCUUUAAGUAUUUUUCAUUAAUCAUUCAGUCAUGCGUAGUCUCAUCUAUAUUUUUCAGCAGAUACACUCCAUCUUAUUGUACAUGAUAUAUCAUAAAAGAUCCUUCCCAAUUCGCGGACCACUUAUCAAAUUUUGAUUCUUUCUGGCCUAAUGGAAGAAUAGUUUUCCAUACUAACUCUCCUUUCUUAAAACAUUUUGGCCGAAUUCUUUUAUCAUAGGUUUGGGCUAUCUUUCCUUUUUGUGCCCUUAUUCAUUCUAAAGCAUUUAACCUCUUAUCAUCUAAAGUUACAAUUCGGCCAUCAUAGCUUGUGAAUACUUUUCUUUGGUCAACAAGUUCUGAUGUAACACACACUCUGACUUCAUAAUUAACUCCAUUGGAAGUACAUCAUCAUGACUGAAAGUCAAAGCUAUGGUGUUGUACCUAUAGAUAUUCUCUUGAAGUCCGAUAACUCCAAAGUACUUCUGACAAUACUUCAUGCCAUACCCUCAAUCUUUCUCCCACAAAUUUUUUUAUAUUAUUGAUUAAAAUUUUAUUUGCCACUUUGGCUUGUCCGUUUUCUUGUGCAUAAUAUGAGAUUGAAUGAAUUAUCUUGAAUCUAUGUUCUUCUGCAAAAUUCUUCAUAUCCAGAUCAGUAAAAAUAGAUCCUUGAUCCAUCGUGAUAGUUUCUGAUAGGUCAAAUCUAUGUAUGAUGUGAUAUCUGAUAAAAUUG
rnacentral:lncRNA from 1 species